CUUUCUUUCUCUCUCUCGUACAUAGCCAAACCCACUGGCCUGAGAUUAUCGAUCGUUCUCCAAGCAGGUCACCCAACAUACCUGAUUCAGAACUUGAGGUAAGGGCAAGGCAAAAUUAGAACAACCAUGAGAUGGCGGUCUUCUCCAGCAAUGUACAUAUUGACCCCACCAGCCUGCGUGUUGAGUUGUUUUAGACUGGCUGUGUCUGCUGUAUUUUGAAUUGUGUUUUGAAUUGUUAUUGUAUAUCGUCUUUUGGAUAAAUCUUUUAUAACAGGGAUUCCCGGAACUCCUUUUUA